rnacentral:lncRNA from 1 species
AGCGGGGUGACGCCAUAGUGAUGGGACUGUGACCUUACACGGAGAGCUCGGGGAAGGCCUCCCGGAUGAGGGGACAGAGAUGUGAAUACAUGAGACCACAGAUCAUGUGACUACCUGGGAAAGAGCCUUCCAGAGGGCAGGAGCAGAUGUGGAGCAUCUCAGGAGCAGUCAGGAGGCCCAUGGAGCUGGCACGGGUUACAGGGUAGCGAAAAUAGAGAUGUAAUGCUUUUCCCAGCCAACCUCGUGACCCACUAAUCUUCCAUCCUUCAAAGGUCCAUGGACCCGAGAUUAAGAACCCCUCAACGAGACCUGAAAGAAGUGAUGCAUAUGGCUCUAUAAAGGCUGAUCAGCAGCGAUGUGCCGUGGUGCCAAGUCUCUCUCAGCCAGGAACCUACUUCCUGCCGACUAGAGGGAGCUGCGGAUGCCCGUCGCCCUGCAGUCCCUCAUGCAGGAGAGAGGAAGAUGCCAAAGGGCCGUGGAAACGGCAGCAAAUGAGGGCUACAGAUCCGGGAAUCCAGCCAGUACCCUGCUUAUCCCAGGGCCCCACUUUCUACCACCUGGGAAGGGACGAUGACCUUCGGUUUGCCUCCACAAUCCCAGCACACUCAUGGCCAUGACCCAUUCAUCACACAGGUGACAUACAGGCCGAGCACUUCACUUCCUGCAGGUUUACAGCAAGAACAGAAUCCCAUGAGAUAAUGUAAGGGGGAAAGGCGUCCUGGCCUGAAUGUCUCCUCCCCUCAGCCAUAGGGAUUGGCUCUGGGAGAGACACGUGAGCCAAGCACGGCCAAUCAGAGUGGGCCCUGGACAUUUUGCUGCAAUUUCUGAGGGAAACAGAUGGGUGGUAAGGCAGGGGGACUGCUGAGGACUUCUUUGCCACCUGAGGGUGAGCAGAGGUGGGGCAGGAGGAAGGGGCCGAGAAUUAAGUUAAACCUGAGAAAGGCAGAGUCUGGAAAUAAAGAGGGGUAAAUUCCUGAUGAGAAUACCUGAGUACUGACUCCAGCUGGGCCAGCUCUGGGAUUUUUCAGGUCCCUGAACCAUUAACUUCCCUUUGCAGUUGAAGUCAAUUUGAGUUGGGGAGGUUCUGUCGCUUACAAC